AUUGAACGCUGGCGGCAGGCCUAACACAUGCAAGUCGAGCGAGCGGCGGACGGGUGAGUAAUGUAUGGGGACUGCCCGAUAGAAGGGGAUAACUACUGGGAACGGGGGCUAAUACCGCAUACUAUCGGAUAACCCAUAUGGGAUUAGCUAGUAGGUGAGGUAAUGGCUCACCUAGGCGACGAUCCCUAGCUGGUCUGAGAGGAUGAUCAGCCACACUGGAACUGAGACACGGCCCAGACUCCUACGGAGGCAGCAGUGGGGAAUAUUGCACAAUGGGCGAAAGCCUGAUGCAGCAAUGCCGCGUGGAUGAAGAAGGCCUUAGGGUUGUAAAGUACUUUCAGUCGGGAGGCGUUACCGAAAGAGAAAGCAACGGCUAACUCCGUGCCAGCAGCCGCGGUAAUUC
rnacentral:rRNA from 1 species